rnacentral:rRNA from 1 species
UACGAAGGGGGCGAGCGUUGUUCGGAAUUACUGGGCGUAAAGGGCGCGUAGGCGGCCGAUCAAGUCAGAUGUGAAAGUCCUGGGCUUAACCUGGGGACUGCAUUUGAUACUGAUUGGCUUGAAUGCAGGAGAGGAUAGCGGAAUUCCCAGUGUAGAGGUGAAAUUCGUAGAUAUUGGGAAGAACACCGGUGGCGAAGGCGGCUAUCUGGACUGUGAUUGACGCUGGAGGCGCGGAAAGCGUGGGGAGCAAACAGG